AGCGAGAAGCUACCCUUGUUCAAGCACUUGAAUAACUGAGGCAGACUCUUAGUAGAACAGAGCAGCAGGCAGUUUUUAGAGAGGACAUGGUUCGAAGAGACAUUGAUGAUCUUCAAAGAUUGGGUGGAGGCAGCCAUGAUACGAUUGGAUAUGAGUGAAUAUAUAGAGCGGCAAAGAAAGUAGUUGGCAAGAUUAAAGUGGAAGGUUAGUUUUCAAUGGUAUAAACCGAAUGUGGG